CUUUAUGAAUGCAGAAUGUGGCCCACAUAAACAUAUGUUGAACAUGCUGAAUCAUUGUUUCAUGAAUAUUAAUGUUGAAAAAGCCCACCUUAAGUCUGAUAACUUGAAGAAAACGUAUGGCCCACGUGAUCAAAUAACUUUGCCAAGUUGCCAUGUCAUGUAUAUAUCCCAUAUAAAGCUUGAUGAUUUUUAAGAAGUUGCAGCCCACGUGAUAAUAAAUAAAUAAACCAACCCAUGCGGCCCACUUGAAUAUUUAAGUCUCUUGAAAUCAUUUGUUGAACACUUGAUAUUCGAGUCGAUAAAUUGACGAAAAAUUCUGACCCGAUCAAUUUGUCAUCAAUAAUCGCCACAGAAAUUGAAACGUUUACCAGAAAAUAGGGACCGUGGACAAAAAAGAAGAGGUUGAAUAGAGGGGGUCUUGUAUGUGGAAAUUAAUGGAAAUUAUGGUUUUCAGUAGGAAGAUGAAGAAGUGGAAUCGAUGAGUUUGUGUACGGAGAAUGGGGCUUUUAG
rnacentral:lncRNA from 1 species